AUUGAACUCUGGCGGCAGGCCUAACACAUGCAAGUCGCACGAGUGGCGGACGGGUGAGUAAUGUCUGGGAAACUGCCCGAUGGAGGGGGAUAACUACUGGAAACGGUAGCUAAUACCGCAUACCAUCGGAUGUGCCCAGAUGGGAUGAGCUAGUAGGUGGGGUAACGGCUAACCUAGGCGACGAUCCCUAGCUGGUCUGAGAGGAUGACCAGCCACACUGGAACUGAGACACGGUCCAGACUCCUACGGGAGGCAGCAGUGGGGAAUAUUGCACAAUGGGCGCAAGCCUGAUGCAGCCAUGCCGCGUGUAUGAAGAAGGCCUUCGGGUUGUAAAGUACUUUCAGCGAGGAGGCGUUACGCGCAGAAGAAGCACCGGCUAACUCCGUGCCAGCAGCCGCGGUAAUAC
rnacentral:rRNA from 1 species